rnacentral:rRNA from 1 species
GAUGAACGCUGGCGGCGUGCCUAACACAUGCAAGUCGAACGGAGAAGCGCCUUCCUUUUUUGUGUGUUUGGAUGGGCGGCGAACGGGUGAGUAACACGCUAGUAACCUUCUCCGUUUUUCUGGAUAACCGCAUGACAGUGUGACUAAUCCGGGAUAUUCUGGGUCUGUCGCAUGAUGGGUCUGGGAAAGAUCUUCUUUCGGUGGUUGAUGGUCUCGCGCUGGAUUAGCUAGUUGGUAGGGUGACGGCGUACCAAGGCGGCGAUGGGUAGCCGACCUGAGAGGAGGAUCGGCGACACUGGAACGGAGACACGGUCCAGACGCCUACGGGAGGCAGCAGUAGGGAAGAUUACGCAAUGGGCGAAAGCCUGACGAAGCAACGACGCGGGGGGGGGGAAGGUGGUCUGAGCGUAAAGCACUUUUAUUGGGGAUGAAGCAAGGUUGCCUUAUCUGUGGGUGGCUUGACGGUACCUAGACAAGAAGCGCCGGCUAACUACGUG